rnacentral:rRNA from 1 species
UGUAAGCGUAUACCAAAGUUGUUGCAGUUAAAACGCUCGUAGUCGGAAUUUGGCAGUUCCGGAUGUGUGCACGUCGUGUGCGCACUUCGCGGGGAUUGCUUUUGUGGUCUUGCGUAGGAUGAGGCACUUUUAUUAGUGAACGUCCUCACGCAACCACUUUUUACUGUGAGAAAAUCAGAGUGCUCAAAGCAGGCAUUUGCCGUGAAUGUAUUAGCAUGGAAUAAUAGAAUAGGACUUGGUUCUAUUUUGUUGGUUUGUUGGGACUGAGUAAUGAUUAAGAGGGACAGUUGGGGGGCAUUUGUAUUUCGGUGCUAGAGGUGAAAUUCUUAGAUUACCGAAAGACAAACUGCUGCGAAAGCGUCUGCCAAGGAUGUUUUCAUUGA